GGGUCGUUAGCUCAGUUGGUAGAGCAGUUGGCUUUUAACCAAUUGGUCGUAGGUUCAAAUCCUACACGACCUA
rnacentral:tRNA from 1 species